GGGUGUGUAGCUCAGUGGUAGAGCGGCUGACUGCAGAUCAACAGGUCCUCAGUUCUAAUUCGGGCGCACCCU
rnacentral:tRNA from 1 species